GGACUGCUGAGGAGUAUCACAAUAGGACGAAACGGCCGUCCAGUGC
rfam:Schistosoma curassoni strain Dakar, Senegal genome assembly, scaffold: SCTD_contig0000845